rnacentral:rRNA from 1 species
AAAUUGAAGAGUUUGAUCAUGGCUCAGAUUGAACGCUGGCGGCAGGCCUAACACAUGCAAGUCGAACGGUAACAGAAAGCAGCUUGCUGCUUUGCUGACGAGUGGCGGACGGGUGAGUAAUGUCUGGGAAACUGCCUGAUGGAGGGGGAUAACUACUGGAAACGGUAGCUAAUACCGCAUAAUGUCGCAAGACCAAAGAGGGGGACCUUCGGGCCGCUUGCCAUCGGAUGUGCCCAGGUGGGAUCAGCUAGUAGGUGGGGUAACGGCUCACCUAGGCGACGAUCCCUA